rnacentral:rRNA from 1 species
AUGAGAAGAAUUGAAGAUUUUAGAGAAUGUCAUCAUGAUAUUGUAAGCCUAGCUAAAAAGAUGGUUGAAUUUGAAAGGUACAUCAUGCUUCCUACGGUUUAUCGCCUCAUUGAGUUGGCAUUGCUACUAUCGGUAGCGAUGGCAACAGUUGAAAGGGCUCUUUCAGCAAUGAAAAUCAUUGUCCGGUGGCUGGCAUAA